rnacentral:rRNA from 1 species
AUUGAACGCUGGCGGCAGGCCUAACACAUGCAAGUCGAACGAGCGGCGGACGGGUGAGUAAUGUAUGGGAAUCUGCCCGAUGGAGGGGGAUAACUACUGGAAACGGUGGCUAAUACCGCAUACCAUCGGAUGUACCCAUAUGGGAUUAGCUAGUAGGUGGGGUAACGGCUCACCUAGGCGACGAUCCCUAGCUGGUCUGAGAGGAUGAUCAGCCACACUGGAACUGAGACACGGUCCAGACUCCUACGGGAGGCAGCAGUGGGGAAUAUUGCACAAUGGGCGCAAGCCUGAUGCAGCCAUGCCGCGUGUAUGAAGAAGGCCUUCGGGUUGUAAAGUACUUUCAGCGAGGAGGCGUUACUCGCAGAAGAAGCACCGGCUAACUCCGUGCCAGCAGCCGCGGUAAUAC